rnacentral:rRNA from 1 species
AAUUAUUUGGGCGUAAAGAGCUCGUAGGCGGUUUGUCACGUCUGCUGUGAAAAUCCAAGGCUCAACCUUGGACUUGCAGUGGGUACGGGCAGGCUAGAGUGCGGUAGGGGAGAUGGGAAUUCCUGGUGUAGCGGUGGAAUGCGCAGAUAUCAGGAGGAACACCAAUGGCGAAGGCACAUCUCUGGGCCGUAACUGACGCUGAGGAGCGAAAGCGUGGGGAGCGAACAGGAUUAGAUACCCUGGUAGUCCACGCCGUAAACGGUGGGUGCUAGCUGUGGGCCACAUUCCACGUGGUCCGUGACGAAGUUAACACAUUAAGCACCCCGCCUGGGGAGUAAGGCCGCAAGGCUAAAACUCAAAGGAAUUGACGGGGGCCCGCACAAGCGGCGGAGCAUGCGGAUUAAUUCGAUGCAACGCGAAGAACCUUACCAAGGCUUGACAUAUAGAGGAAAAGUGCAGAAAUGCACUCCCCGCAAGGUCUCUAUACAGGUGGUGCAUGGUUGUCGUCAGCUCGUGUCGUGAGAUGUUGGGUUAAGUCCCGCAACGAGCGCAACCCUCGUCCUAUGUUGCCAGCACGUUAUGGUGGGAACUCAUGGGAUACUGCCGGGGUCAACUCGGAGGAAGGUGGGGAUGACGUCAAAUCAUCAUGCCCCUUAUGUCUUGGGCUUCACGCAUGCUACAAUGGCCGGUACAGAGGGCUGCAAUACCGCAAGGUGGAGCGAAUCCCAAAAAGCCGGUCUCAGUUCGGAUUGAGGUCUGCAACUCGACCUCAUGAAGUCGGAGUCGCUAGUAAUCGUAGAUCAGCAACGCUACGGUGAAUACGUUCCCGGGCCUUGUACACACCGCCCGUCAAGUCACGAAAGUCGAUAACACCCGAAGCCGGUGGCCUAACCGCAAGGAGGGAGCCGUCGAAGGUGCGGAUUGG